AUUGAACGCUGGCGGCAGGCCUAACACAUGCAAGUCGAACGAGUGGCGGACGGGUGAGUAAUGUCUGGGAAACUGCCUGAUGGAGGGGGAUAACUACUGGAAACGGUAGCUAAUACCGCAUACCAUCGGAUGUGCCCAUAUGGGAUUAGCUAGUAGGUGGGGUAACGGCUCACCUAGGCGACGAUCCCUAGCUGGUCUGAGAGGAUGACCAGCCAAACUGGAACUGAGACACGGGCCAGACGCCUACGGGAGGCAGCAGGGGGGAAUUGUGGACAAUGGGCGCAAGCCUGAUGCAGCCCUGCCGCGUGUGUGAAGAAGGCCUUCGGGUUGUAAAGUACUUUCAGCGGGGAAGCGUUAUCCGCAGAAGAAGCACCGGCUAACUCCGUGCCAGCAGCCGCGGUAAUAC
rnacentral:rRNA from 1 species